rnacentral:rRNA from 1 species
GUAGGUGGCAAGCGUUGUCCGGAUUUACUGGGUGUAAAGGGCGUGUAGGCGGGAGAGCAAGUCAGAAGUGAAAUCUAUGGGCUUAACCCAUAAACUGCUUUUGAAACUGUUCUUCUUGAGUAUCGGAGAGGCAGGCGGAAUUCCUAGUGUAGCGGUGAAAUGCGUAGAUAUUAGGAGGAACACCAGUGGCGAAGGCGACUUUCUGGACAGAAACUGACGUUGAGGCACGAAAGUGUGGGGAGCAAACAGGAUUAGAUACCCUGGUAGUCCACACCGUAAACGAUGGAUACUAGGUGUAGGGUGUGAUAAACACUCUGUGCCGUCGCAAACGCAAUAAGUAUCCCACCUGGGGAGU